CCUACGAGUGGCAGCAGUGGGGAAUAUUGCACAAUGGGGGAAACCCUGAUGCAGCGACGCCGCGUGAGUGAAGAAGUAUUUCGGUAUGUAAAGCUCUAUCAGCAGGGAAGAAAAUGACGGUACCUGAUUAAGAAGCCCCGGCUAACUACGUGCCAGCAGCCGCGGUAACACGUAGGGCGCAAGCGUUAUCCGGAUUGACUGGGUGUAAAGGGAGCGUAGACGGUGAUGCAAGUCAGAAGUGAAAGCCCGGGGCUCAACUCCGGGACUGCUUUUGAAACUGUGUGACUGGAGUGCAGGAGAGGUAGGCGGAAUUCCUGGUGUAGCGGUGAAAUGCGUAGAUAUCAGGAGGAACCCCGAUGGCGAAGGCAGCUUACUGGAGUGUAACUGACGUUGAGGCUCGAAAGCGUGGGUAGCGAACAGGAUUAGAUACCCGAGUAGUC
rnacentral:rRNA from 1 species